GAUGAACGCUGGCGGCGUGCCUAAUACAUGCAAGUCGAGCGAACAGAUGAGGGGUUUGCUCCUCUGACGUUAGCGGCGGACGGGUGAGUAACACGUGUAUAACCUACCUAUAAGACUGGUAUAACUUCGGGACACCGGAGCUAAUCCCGGAUAAUAUAUUGAACCGCAUGGGUCAAUAGUGAAAGACGGUUUUGCUGUCACUUAUAGAUGGAUCCGCGCCGCAUUAGCUAGUUGGUGAGGUAACGGCUUACCAAGGCAACGAGGCGUAGCCGACCGGAGAGGGUGAUCGGCCGCAUGGGAGGUGAGACACGGUCCAGAGUACUACGGGAGGCAGCAGUAGGGAACCGUCCGCAACGGGCGAGAGCCUUACGCAGUAGGGCGGCGCGAGUGAUGACGGUCUUCGGAGCGUAAAACCCUCUUAUUGGGGAAGAACAAAUUUGGAAGGAACCAUGCAGGGCGUGACGGUACCGAAUCAGAAAGCCACGGCUAACUACGUG
rnacentral:rRNA from 1 species